UUGCAGAGUACCGUCCAUGAUUUGACAGUCCACCGUGCAACUCCUGAGGAUAUUCUGCGUCGCCAUGAAAUGCACAAAUCAAAAAACAAAGCACUGGCACAUCUGGAACUGCAAGAGAAAGCACUGAAAAAAAAAUGGAAGAAGCAAAAACAACUGGCUGCUGAUUCCUUGGAGAAAAGGAAAUUGACUCUGAUGCGUGAGGUUUCCCUAAUGUAACAAUGGCUCCUAACUGUGACAUAGAAUCAUCUCAAGGACCCGUUGUACAAAAAUGUGACCCUCCCACUCAGCUUUCUAUCCUUAGUGAAUCUGUCAUGGAUUCCCAGGUAAUG